rfam:Trichobilharzia regenti genome assembly, scaffold: TRE_scaffold0010410
AUCCAGCUGACGAGUCCCAAAUAGGAUUAAAUGCGUAUCCUGGAU